rnacentral:rRNA from 1 species
CCUACGGGAGGCAGCAGUGAGGAAUAUUGGUCAAUGGCCGUAAGGCUGAACCAGCCAAGUCGCGUGAAGGAAGAAGGAUCUAUGGUUUGUAAACUUCUUUUAUAGGGGAAUAAAGGUAUCCACGUGUGGAUAUUUGCAUGUACCCUAUGAAUAAGCAUCGGCUAACUCCGUGCCAGCAGCCGCGGUAAUACGGAGGAUGCGAGCGUUAUCCGGAUUUAUUGGGUUUAAAGGGUGCGUAGGUUGUUUUUUAAGUCAGCGGUGAAAGUUUGUGGCUCAACCAUAAAAUUGCCGUUGAAACUGGAAGACGUGAGUGUGUUUGAGGUAGGCGGAAUGCGUGGUGUAGCGGUGAAAUGCAUAGAUAUCACGCAGAACUCCGAUUGCGAAGGCAGCUUACUAAGCCAUAACUGACACUGAAGCACGAAAGCGUGGGGAUCAAACAGGAUUAGAUACCCGAGUGUC